GUACGGGAGGCAGCAGUGGGGAAUCUUGCGCAAUGGGCGAAAGCCUGACGCAGCGACGCCGCGUGAGUGAUGAAGGCCUUCGGGUUGUAAAGCUCUGUGGAGGGGGACGAAUAAGUCGUGGCUAACAUCCACGAUGAUGACGGUACCUCUUUAGCAAGCACCGGCUAACUCUGUGCCAGCAGCCGCGGUAAGACAGAGGGUGCAAACGUUGUUCGGAAUUACUGGGCGUAAAGCGCGUGUAGGCCGCUCCGCAAGUCGGAUGUGAAAGCCCUGGGCUCAACCUAGGAAGUGCAUUCGAAACUGCGGAGCUUGAGUCCUGGAGAGGAUCGCGGAAUUCUCGGUGUAGAGGUGAAAUUCGUAGAUAUCGAGAGGAACACCGGUGGCGAAGGCGGCGAUCUGGACAGUGACUGACGCUGAGACGCGAAAGCGUGGGGAGCAAACAGGAUUAGAUACCCGAGUAGUCUU
rnacentral:rRNA from 1 species